GGCUCGAGGACGAACGCUGGCGGCGUGCCUAACACAUGCAAGUCGAACGAGGUCCAUCCUUCGGGAGAAGACCUAGUGGCGAACGGGUGAGUAACACGUGAAGAACCUGCCCCGAAGACCGGGAUAACCCUCCGAAAGGAGAGCUAAUACCGGAUACCCCCACCGAACCGCAUGGUUUGGUGAGGAAAUGGAUUCCGCUUCGGGAGGGCUUCGCGGCCUAUCAGCUAGUUGGUGGGGUAACGGCCCACCAAGGCAUCGACGGGUAGCUGGUCCUGAGAGGACGAUCAGCCACACUGGGACUGAGACACGGCCCAGACUCCUACGGGAGGCAGCAGUGGGGAAUCUUGCGCAAUGGGCGAAAGUCUGACGCAGCAACGCCGCGUGGGGAUGAAGGCUCUCGGGUUGUAAACCCCUUUCAGCAGGGACGAAUCAAGACGGUACCUGCAGAAGAAGCCCCGGCUAACUACGUG
rnacentral:rRNA from 1 species